rfam:Triticum aestivum genome assembly, contig: Triticum_aestivum_CS42_TGACv1_scaffold_178963_2DS
UAUGUACUCCCUCCGUCUGAAAAAACUUGUCCCAAAUUUAUCUCUCAAAUGAAUGUAUCUAGCACUAACUUAAUGCUAGUCACAUCCAUUUAAGAGACAAGCUUUUCGGACGGAGUGAGUACUAA